rnacentral:lncRNA from 1 species
CUCGGUUGAAAAUAAACCACACCUUGAAUCUACCUCUAACAUCCGUUUUAGAGGUUUACAACAUAACCCAAUCAAUUUAUCUUUCGCCAAUAGUCACAAGUCCUCGUCUCUCACGAACCUUAAUCUCCUAUGGUUUGCUAUCCUAGGGUCUCCUAGGUCCAACUAAACUAUUUUCUAUUAUUCUUUUUAUGUUCUUUUUAUGCUCUGAUACCAUCUUAUCUGUCACUCCCCGCGACCGCCCACCUAUUUGGCCGGGUCGCGG